rnacentral:rRNA from 1 species
GAUGAACGCUGGCGGCGUGCCUAAUACAUGCAAGUCGAGCGAACAGAUAAGGAGCCUGCUCCUUUAACGUUAGCGGCGGACGGGUGAGUAACACGUGGAUAACCUACCUAUAAGACUGGGAUAACUUCGGGAAACCGGAGCUAAUACCGGAUAACAUAUUGAACCGCAUGGUUCAAUAGUGAAAGGCGGCUUUGCUGUCACUUAUAGAUGGAUCCGCGCCGUAUUAGCUAGUUGGUAAGGUAACGACUUACCAAGGCAACGAUACGUAGCCGACCUGAGAGGGUGAUCGGCCACACUGGAACUGAGACACGGUCCAGACUCCUACGGGAGGCAGCAGUAGGGAAUCUUCCGCAAUGGGCGAAAGCCUGACGGAGCAACGCCGCGUGAGUGAUGAAGGUCUUCGGAUCGUAAAACUCUGUUAUCAGGGAAGAACAAAUGUGUAAGUAACUGUGCACAUCUUGACGGUACCUGAUCAGAAAGCCACGGCUAACUACGUG